GGUGUAGUGGUCGGUCAUAUUUGAGACUACAGCAGAAUGUAUCAUGACCAGUGAGAGCCAAUCACAAUGUUGCCUUUUGAAGGAGGGCGUGAUCGAGCGUUUGUGGAGAUUUUUCAAAUAGGACUGGGCACCUCGCAUGAUGAUGACGAUUAUGAGCCUUCUAUUUUAAGUGAGACAACAACGCUGACAGAUGGCCAUGCUAGAAAUGGGGCUUGCUUGCCAGUAGAUGUGUGCUGCUAAUCGCCUAGUGUGCAACAAAGAGGCUUUCGUCACAUCACUCAACGUGCGGUGGGUCUAAAUAACUUGCAAUUACGCUGGUUAAACGAAGGGCACUCCAGUUUUUAUUUAGUGGG